GAGUUUGAUCUUGACUCAGGAUGAACGCUAGCGGCAGGCUUAAUACAUGCAAGUCGAACGGUAAGUGUUGUAGCAAUACGAUACGAGAGUGACGCACGGGUGCGUAACACGUAUGCAACCUACCUUGUACAGGAGUAUAGCUCGGGGAAACUCGAAUUAACGCUCCAUAAUGUAGCGGAGAGGCAUCUCUUUGCUACUAAAACUGAGGUGGUACAAGAUGGGCAUGCGGCUGAUUAGCUAGUUGGUAGUGUAACGGACUACCAAGGCGAUGAUCAGUAGGGGACCUGAGAGGGUGAUCCCCACACUGGCACUGAGAUACGGGCCAGACUCCUACGGGAGGCAGCAGUAGGGAAUAUUGGUCAAUGGGUGAGAGCCUGAACCAGCC
rnacentral:rRNA from 1 species